rnacentral:lncRNA from 1 species
GGGUCCCCCUUUUAUAGGCGGAGGGAGCAACAGACUGAUAGCGAUGUCUGUAACCGUCUGGCAGUGGGCUGCCCAGAGUCAUGGGGAGUUUGUUGCGAAGAGUAGUGGGGUGGAAUCGUGGCUAUCACCGGGACACGCCACGUGGAGUCUGUCACGGGGAGUGGAGCGGCGUCCAUUGUCGUGACUUACCAGAGGAUGGAAGAAUCGCGCGGUAUCCAUCGC